CCCUUAGAUGUUCUGGGCCGCACGCGCGCUACACUGAUACAGGCAGCAAGUUAUAUUUCCCCUUGGCUGAGAGGCCUGGGUAAUCUUGUGAAAUUGUAUCGUGAUGGGGAUAGGUCACUGUAAUCGUUGACCUUUAACGAGGAAUUCCUAGUACGCGCAAGUCAUCAGCUUGCAUGGAUUACGUCCCUGCCCUUUGUACACACCACCCGUCGCUACUACCGAUUGAAUGAUUUAGUGAGUACCAGGGACCGAGCGCUUUGGUUGGGUUUCCUUCCCUAGCGCUUGGGAACUGUCGCAAACUUGACCAUUUAGAGGAAGUAAAAGUCGUAACA
rnacentral:rRNA from 1 species